AGAGUUUGAUUCUGGCUCAGGAUGAACGCUAGCUACAGGCUUAACACAUGCAAGUCGAGGGGCAGCAUUGGAGUAGCAAUACUCAGAUGGCGACCGGCGCACGGGUGAGUAACACGUAUCCAACCUGCCGCUUACUCGGGGAUAGCCUUUCGAAAGAAAGAUUAAUACCCGAUGGUAUAAAGAGUUCGCAUGUUCUCUUUAUUAAAGAAUUUCGGUAAGCGAUGGGGAUGCGUUCCAUUAGAUAGUUGGCGGGGUAACGGCCCACCAAGUCUACGAUGGAUAGGGGUUCUGAGAGGAAGGUCCCCCGCAUUGGAACUGAGACACGGUCCAAACUCCUACGGGAGGCAGCAGUGAGGAAUAUUGGUCAAUGGACGAGAGUCUGAACCAGCCAAAAGUAGCGUGAAGGAUGACUGCCCUAUGGGUUGUAAACUUCUUUUAUAAGGGAAUAAAGUGAGGGACGUGUCCCUUUUUGUAUGUACCUUAUGAAUAAGGAUCGGCUAACUCCGUGCCAGCCGCGGC
rnacentral:rRNA from 1 species